UGGGGAAUUUUGGACAAUGGGCGAAAGCCUGAUCCAGCAAUGCCGCGUGUGUGAAGAAGGCCUUCGGGUUGUAAAGCACUUUUGUCCGGAAAGAAAUCCUUGGCUCUAAUACAGUCGGGGGAUGACGGUACCGGAAGAAUAAGCACCGGCUAACUACGUGCCAGCAGCCGCGGUAAUACGUAGGGUGCAAGCGUUAAUCGGAAUUACUGGGCGUAAAGCGUGCGCAGGCGGUUUGCUAAGACCGAUGUGAAAUCCCCGGGCUCAACCUGGGAACUGCAUUGGUGACUGGCAGGCUAGAGUAUGGCAGAGGGGGGUAGAAUUCUACGUGUAGCAGUGAAAUGCGUAGAGAUGUGGAGGAAUACCGAUGGCGAAGGCAGCCCCCUGGGCCAAUACUGACGCUCAUGCACGAAAGCGUGGGGAGCAAACAGGAUUAGAUACCCUGGUAGUCCGCGCCCUAAACGAUGUCAACUAGUUGUUGGGGAUUCAUUUCCUUAGUAACGUAGCUAACGCGUGAAGUUGACCGCCUGGGGAGUACGGUCGCAAGAUUAAAACUCAAAUGAAUUGACGGGGUCAUAGCUGUUUCCU
rnacentral:rRNA from 1 species